GAUACAUAAAUAACAUUUUCAAAAAUGUUAACAGUAAACCCAGUUGAUGGUUAGUAUUUAUGGUUUUUUACUUAAAAAUACAAAUACAUACGAACCUACGGAGAGCAUGUUGCACACGUGGAAAAUCAUAAAUAUGUUUUAAGACCUACACCGAGGUGAGUAUAUGGUAAAAAUAUAAAAUGUGUACUGAAUUGUUGGACACCAUACUAAGAGUGCAAGGUUUAGUGCGUAUACCAACGGAACGAAAAUUUCACAUGUGUGAUACACGUGUGUAUAAUUAUGUAUCUCGACUUCCGAAUAGUGUUAUAUAAUUCUCAUCUAGUAGUUGAGUAUUCACACUAAGUCGAUGAACACGUUCACGAUACAUAAUUUUACAAAUGUUAUUAGUUCACGAGAGUAAUAACACUAAUUUUUUUCAUUAUUCGUUUAAUUUUCAUACUCCUUGAUACGAGGCUAAAACGAAAUUAUUAUUAAACUACAUUAGUUUCAAAGUCCACUGCUGCUUCUAAAGUCGAUACCGAUGAUGAUAUUUCGUUAAAUCACGCGUAACCGUUAAAAGGAUGUAGUUGAGCAUAUCAAAAAAAAAAAAAAAAAAAAAAUAAGCGGGG